UGGUACCAUGACGGUGGAGUAGGAUGGGUUGAAGAGCGCAACAUCAAACUAAACUCUAAUAAGAUGUAAGCUCCACGAUAAACAGAUGCAAGUCAGUGAUUGAUAAAUGAUUCACACAUUUCUACUCAUCAUUUUAGUUUCAAUUCCUUCGCUAUAACGUUUACAUUGGAGUGGCGUUAAAGAGUUCUGACAGGAAAGUGACCUUAAAUAAAUGAGACAGUAACCAGGAUGGUGGUUCCUUUGGGUCAAGGCAGGGAGAGCGUUAGUGUUUCAAAGUAUUUUUAAAACACGUGACCAACAAAGUACGGAUCAAUGGCCUGUUCCCACGGCCACCGUCGGUCCACAGAACCUCAGCCCCCCCCAACCUGAAGCCUCCUCUCCGGGCGUGCCCCCCGCCCCCACGCCCCC
ensembl:lncRNA